GUUUGAUCCUGGCUCAGAGCGAACGCUGGCGGCAGCUACACAUGCACGUCGAACGAAGUCUUCGGACUUAGUGGCGGACGGGUGAGUAACACGUGGGAACGUACCUUUUGGUUCGGAACAACUCAGGGAAACUUGAGCUAAUACCGAAUGUGCCCUUAGGGGGAAAGAUUUAUCGCCAUUAGAGCGGCCCGCGUUAGAUUAGCUAGUUGGUGAGGUAAAGGCUCACCAAGGCUACGAUCUAUAGCUGGUCUGAGAGGAUGAUCAGCCACACUGGGACUGAGACACGGCCCAGACUCCUACGGGAGGCAGCAGUGGGGAAUCUUGCGCAAUGGGCGAAAGCCUGACGCAGCCAUGCCGCGUGAAUGAUGAAGGUCUUAGGAUUGUAAAAUUCUUUUAGCAGGGACGAUAAUGACGGUACCUGCAGAAAAAGCCCCGGCUAACUUCGUGCCAGCAGCCGCGGUAAUACGAAGGGGGCUAGCGUUGCUCGGAAUUACUGGGCGUAAAGGGAGCGUAGGCGGGUUAUCAAGUUGGAGGUGAAAGCCCAGGGCUCAACCCUGGAAUUGCCUUCAAAACUGAUAGCCUUGAGUAUGGAAGAGGUAAGUGGAACUCCGAGUGUAGAGGUGAAAUUCGUAGAUAUUCGGAAGAACACCAGUGGCGAAGGCGACUUACUGGUCCAUGACUGACGCUGAGGCUCGAAAGCGUGGGGAGCAAACAGGAUUAGAUACCCCUGGUAGUCCACGCUGUAAACGAUGAUUGCUAGUUGUCGGGCGGCAUGCCGUUCGGUGACGCAGCUAACGCAUUAAGCAUCCGCCUGGGAGUACGGUCGCAAGAUUAAAACUCAAAGGAAUUGACG
rnacentral:rRNA from 1 species